UGCAGGAAAGUAGCUCAGUUGGUAGAGCAUGAGAUUCUUAAUCUUGGGGUCUUGGGUUCGAGCCCCACAUUGGGCAA